CCGUACGACCAAGAGAUCGGAUAACACCUGGAAACAGAUGCUAAUACCGGAUAAUAACAGAUGAUGCCUAUCAACUGUUUAAAAGAUGGUUCUGCUAUCACUCUUGGAUGGACCUGCGGUGCAUUAGCUAGUUGGUAGGGUAACGGCCUACCAAGGCGAUGAUGCAUAGCCGAGUUGAGAGACUGAUCGGCCACAUUGGGACUGAGACACGGCCCAAACUCCUACGGGAGGCAGCAGAC
rnacentral:rRNA from 1 species